UUUUCAGCCAUUUCCAGUUCAGUCAGAUGGACAGAGCUGUGGGAUAUUCAUGCUUAUGUAUGCCCUCUGCAUCUGUAAUGGUGCCAUGUUUAACUUUUUGGAUGUAAGUUGUAAUUCAUGGAAUGUAUGUAUCCAAGAAUGUUAAGAAACAAACAAUGCAAGACUCCAAUAAUACAUGUGUAUUACAGACUGACAUCCCAUCUAUUCGUAAGUGGUGGUGUAUCCAGAUUCUGGAGAAAUUCUCGAUUGCAAGGCAUGGGCAGAACUUUGGGCAGCGCUUUGCUUUCUGGACAGAGGAGGCAGAACAGCUGAUGGCAGGCACCCUACCACCUAUUUAUAGGAUUUAUCGACCCCAAAUAGUCAAGG